GACAGUGCGAUAAGGGAAUCCCCAGUGCCCAGGCAUAGAGCCUGUGCUUUUGUGCACCCUAGGGCCGGUGUACGAAUAAAGGGCUGGGCAAGACCGGUGCCAGCCGCCGCGGUAAUACCGGCAGCCCAAGUGAUGGCCGAUCUUAUUGGGCCUAAAGCGUCCGUAGCUGGCCGCACAAGUCCAUCGGGAAAUCCACCUGCCCAACAGGUGGACGCCCGGUGGAAACUGUGUGGCUUGGGACCGGAAGGCGCGACGGGUACGUCCGGGGUAGGAGUGAAAUCCCGUAAUCCUGGACGGACCGCCGAUGGCGAAAGCACGUCGCGAAAACGGAUCCGACAGUGAGGGACGAAAGCCAGGGUCUCGAACCGGAUUAGAUACCCGGGUAGUCCUGGCCGUAAACAAUGUCUGUUAGGUGUGGCUCCCACUACGAGUGGGUGCUGUGCCGUAGGGAAGCCGCUAAACAGACCGCCUGGGAAGUACGUCCGCAAGGAUGAAACUUAAAGGAAUUGGCGGGGGAGCACUACAACCGGAGGAGCCUGCGGUUUAAUUGGACUCAACGCCGGACAUCUCACCAGCAUCGACUGUAAUAAUGACGACCAGGUUGAUGACCUUGUCCGAGUUUCAGAGAGGAGGUGCAUGGCCGCCGUCAGCUCGUACCGUGAGGCGUCCUGUUAAGUCAGGCAACGAGCGAGACCCGCAUCCCUACUUGCCAGCAGUACUUCACAGUAGCUGGGGACAGUACGGAGACCGCCGUGGCCAACACGGAGGAAGGAACGGGCAACGGUAGGUCAGUAUGCCCCGAAUGUGCUGGGCAACACGCGGGCUACAAUGGUCGAGACAAAGGGUUCCAACUCCGAAAGGAGACGGUAAUCUCAGAAACUCGAUCGUAGUUCGGAUUGUGGGCUGCAACUCGCCCACAUGAAGCUGGAUUCGGUAGUAAUCGCGUGUCACAAGCGCGCGGUGAAUACGUCCCUGCUCCUUGCACACACCGCCCGUCAAAGCACCCGAGUGAGGUCCGGAUGAGGCACGUCCACGUGUCGA
rnacentral:rRNA from 1 species